UGGUCCUACGGGAGGCAGCAGUAGGGAAUCUUCCACAAUGGACGAAAGUCUGAUGGAGCAACGCCGCGUGAGUGAAGAAGGGUUUCGGCUCGUAAAGCUCUGUUGGUAGUGAAGAAAGAUAGAGGUAGUAAAUGGCCUUUAUUUGACGGUAAUUACUUAGAAAGUCACGGCUAACUACGUGCCAGCAGCCGCGGUAAUACGUAGGUGGCAAGCGUUGUCCGGAUUUUUUGGGCGGAAA
rnacentral:rRNA from 1 species